UGAAAUCUCACCAGGCCCGGACACUGGAAGGAUUGACAGAUUGAUAGCUCUUUCUUGAUUCGGUGCGUGGUGGUGCAUGGCCGUUCUUAGUUGGUUGAGUGAUUUGUCUUGUUAAUUCCGAUAACGAACGAGACUCUGUCCUGCUAAAUAGUGUCUGCUUCUCUUUCAAGCAGACAAUUCUUCUUAGAGGGACUAUAUGUGUUAAGCAUAUGGAAGUUUGAGGCAAUAA
rnacentral:rRNA from 1 species